rnacentral:rRNA from 1 species
GACGAACGCUGGCGGCGUGCCUAAUACAUGCAAGUUGAGCGAUGAAGAUUGGUGCUUGCACCAAUUUGAAGAGCAGCGAACGGGUGAGUAACGCGUGGGGAAUCUGCCUUUGAGCGGGGGACAACAUUUGGAAACGAAUGCUAAUACCGCAUAACAACUUUAAACAUAAGUUUUAAGUUUGAAAGAUGCAAUUGCAUCACUCAAAGAUGAUCCCGCGUUGUAUUAGCUAGUUGGUGAGGUAAAGGCUCACCAAGGCGAUGAUACAUAGCCGACCUGAGAGGGUGAUCGGCCACAUUGGGACUGAGACACGGCCCAAACUCCUACGGGAGGCAGCAGUAGGGAAUCUUCGGCAAUGGACGAAAGUCUGACCGAGCAACGCCGCGUGAGUGAAGAAGGUUUUCGGAUCGUAAAACUCUGUUGGUAGAGAAGAACGUUGGUGAGAGUGGAAAGCUCAUCAAGUGACGGUAACUACCCAGAUAGGGACGGCUAACUACGUG